AACGAACGCUGGCGGCAUGCCUAACACAUGCAAGUCGAACGAGACCUUCGGGUCUAGUGGCGCACGGGUGCGUAACGCGUGGGAACCUGCCCUUAGGUUCGGAAUAACUCCCCGAAAGGGGUGCUAAUACCGGAUAAUGUCUUCGGACCAAAGAUUUAUCGCCUUUGGAUGGGCCCGCGUUGGAUUAGCUAGUUGGUAGGGUAAAAGCCUACCAAGGCGACGACCAUAGCUGGUCUGAGAGGAUGAUCAGCCACACUGGGACUGAGACACGGCCCAGACUCCUACGGGAGGCAGCAGUGGGGAAUAUUGGACAAUGGGCGAAAGCCUGAUCCAGCAAUGCCGCGUGAGUGAUGAAGGCCUUAGGGUUGUAAAGCUCUUUUACCCGGGAUGAUAAUGACAGUACCGGGAGAAUAAGCUCCGGCUAACUCCGUG
rnacentral:rRNA from 1 species